UAACUGCGAGUGAAGAGGGAAGAGCUCAAAUUUGAAAUCUGGCAGUGUUCUACUGCUCGAAUUGUAAUCUAGAGAAGUGUAACCCGUGCUGGACCAUGUACAAGUCUCCUGGAAUGGAGCAUCAUAGAGGGUGAGAAUCCUGUCUUUGACAUGGACUACCAGUGCAAUUGUGGUGUGCUCUCAAAGAGUCGAGUUGUUUGGGAAUGCAGCUCUAAAUGGGUGGUAAACUCCAUCUAAAGCUAAAUAUUGGCAAGAGACCGAUAGCGAACAAGUACCGUGAGGGAAAGAUGAAAAGAACUUUGGAAAGAGAGUUAAACAGUAUGUGAAAUUGUUGAAAGGGAAACACUUAAAGUCAGUGAUGUCGGCCAGGGAUCAAGCCAGUGUUUUUAUGCUGGGUGUAUUUCCUGAUCUGACAGGUCAACAUGAGUUUUGACUGCUGGAAAAGGAUAGGGGGAAUGUGGCACCU
rnacentral:rRNA from 1 species